AUACGGAGGAUGCAAGCGUUAUCCGGAUUUAUUGGGUUUAAAGGGUGCGUAGGCGGUUUGCUAAGCGGGAGGUGAAAUGCCGGCGCUCAACGUCGGAAGUGCCUCCCGAACUGGUGGACUGGAAUGACUCUGCCGUGGGAGGAAUGUGUAGUGUAGCGGUGAAAUGCUUAGAGAUUACACAGAACACCGAUUGCGAAGGCAUCUCACGAAGGGUUGAUUGACGCUGAGGCACGAAAGCGUGGGGAUCAAACAGGAUUAGAUACCCUGGUAGUCCACGCAGUAAACGAUGAUGGCUAACCGCUGGGCUUAUCAGUUCAGUGGCCAAGCGAAAGCGAUAAGCCAUCCACCUGGGGAGUACGACCGCAAGGCUGAAACUCAAAGGAAUUGACGGGG
rnacentral:rRNA from 1 species